rnacentral:lncRNA from 10 species
CCACCCUAUACAUGCUCUCUCUCUGCCUGAUGAGGGCUCUUCCGAAUAUCUGGUUAGGCUACACCGAGUUCCUAAUAAAACAUCUUGCCAUCGAUUUAGAAAGACUCCGGAAACAUUAAAAGUGACCUCCCCAUAUGCUGUCACUCUUAGAAGAUCUAUGCCAUUGAGUAGGACUGUUAACCAAUGGCUCUUAUUGGUAUCUUAUUGGUCACCCUUAGAAGAUCUAUGCCAUUGAGUAGGACUGUUAACCAAUGGCUCUUAUUGGUAUCCAAUCUAUACACUGGAUCCGAGGGUAAAUUUCAGUUUUGUGGAUUCAUGGUGUGCACUGUAAGCAAUCAAUUGCUUUUCCUUGGCCCACUUUAAGUUUCUGAAAAUUUUACUUGAGUACUGUCUCGUUCUCAGAAUCCAAAAUAGUUUGAAGGUUAUAAGUUUGGACUUCCUAUACCUUCCCUUAUCUAACAUUGCUAAAUCUUACCUCUCUCUUCCCUGACAGCAAGAUGAGUCUCUACAAAGGAGACUUCACUUCCUGCAGAUGUUUACUAGUUUGCCUGAUCUUCUCUGGGGCACUUUUUCUUUUCAAAUACCAUCUAUUGUUAGUUGUGGCGUAACACUUCCUGUCAGUGGCGCUGUUGUUUAAAUAAGGCAUUCCUGAAAAUUUCCUUAUCCGGACAGGCUUUUCUCACUUUCGGGAUGCAGGAGCCGAAAGAUUUGAAGAGACCCUUUAAAGGAUAGGGUAAUUAAGUUCUGUCAGAAGACUGCCUGCUGAUAAAAGUCAUGUCCAUUUCUGACAACGUUCUGUUGUGGUUUGUAAUUGCUCUGUGAUAGAGCUUGUCAAUCUCUGUGGUUACUGAAGGUGUUAUGAUGGACGGGAAGAAUUGAACAGACACUGGGGAGGCAUGCGAGCUCCCUUAAAGUUUCUUGUGAAGACGCCUUCUGAAUCAGUGCUCUAUUUUGAGCACAAAGUCAAGAUGUCUGUGGCUUCAGCCAAAGAGGUUCACACGGAAGACCUGCUGCGCUGGUUGCUGAUCCAAGCCUGGACCGUUCCUGAAGCUCUUCUGGGCAAGAGCAUCCCUAGAAUGAUGCUUCCAACGAGCGCCCGAGAGGCUCCUCUCCUGGACAUGACUGAGUUGCACCCAUCGCCCGCCGUGGCACCCACUGGAACCUUGUACAGUAGUGGCUUCUCACAGAUGCAGCUGCACUUCUCCACUGGAGGGCCCAGGGAGCCUGACUCACACAUGGGACCUGGGUCUGAGGUGUAUCCUAACUUUCUUCUGGAGGCCUCCAGUGGGGCUGUGCCACUACUGCCCACAGUGAUAAAGCCUGUAAAGCACCCUGUGCAUCAACUUGCUUCUCUUCUCUGUUUCACAUCCACGCCCCUCCCAGCGCUUCCCAGCAUCAGUACUUAAAAUAUCCCUUGCACUCAGAUCUUAGUCUCGGUGUCUGCUUCUGGGAAAACCAGCCUCAGGCACCCCCGGACUCCUCUUGUACAUCCCUAGUGCAGUGGUCCUAUGCUUAGCCCCCCGUGCAAUGGUGCUGACAAUGGUGAGGGCAGAUAACCCUGAGUUCCACACUUAGACUUUUCCAUUCCAGGAAGCUGCUGUUCCAGCCAGAAGGCACCCUCAGGAGUUCCUGGCGGGUACAGGAGGGCAGGGUUUGGGGUGGGGAGCCACUCCAGAAAUGUGAGAGAAUUUUCUGUUCCAAUGGUGUAUAGGGAAAGAUACAACACUCCCGAUCCAAUUCCAAGUGCCAUUAAGCUCAGAAACAGAAAAUAUUUCUAUGCAAAAGAAAGGAAGAUUUUGUCUUAUGCAGAUUCACAGUGUUUCAAAAGAGUAAGAUGUUUCUUCCUCUCCUUCCACCUUAAAACCCUCUUUUCUACCCUAAGCUGCAUGCUCCAUUAAGUUAUCUAAUGAUUUCCAGGAAGGAAUGGAAACCCAGAGUCACGCACCCGACUUCUGCUAGCAGUCAUUCGGGGCCCCACUGCGGUCCCGUCCUCAGUGCACCAGGUCUUGGAGUAGGUGAGGGCGUGUUUCGGCAUCCAGGAGCACACUCACUUCCUCCCUCACUCUAAUUGGCUCAGGGGUGGACAUGUGACACCUUGAGACCCAAUGAGGUAUCUCCUGGGACUUCUGGGAAACAGCCCUUUGCUCCUCCUCACUGGUUUACAGUGAGAGGAUAAGGGCUGGGGUCUUGGCAGCCAUUUUGCUCCCAUAAGAGAAGGGCCUGAAGUUAGAGCCCACAGAAAGAGGCAGAGCUGAGAGGAAAAGAAACACCAAGUCUUGUGACACUGAGCAAUGGAAUCUGCCUGUCCUCCUCUGGAUCGUUUGGUAGUUUAGUCAUUCAGUUCUCUUUCUUGCUUCAUCUGGUGUUGGGUUUUUCUGUCACUUAUUGCAAAGAGUCCUAAUUGAUAUGAACAGAAGGGAGAGGUUUCCUUUUUUUUCUCUCUCUCUGAUCCAAAAUGACUGGUAAGUUUUCUUCAUUCUCCUUUGCACCGUGACCCAAGUUUCUUUCUCCUGUCCUCUGUGACCCAGAGUGUCCCUCAGAGGCAGGGCACAUGGCUGCUGGAGGUCCCUCAGUGUGCGUAUCUAACAUUUCUGCUUGAAAUCCUCUGUUGAAAUGUAACUGACUCCGCCAAAGAGGGAUGACCAAACACACAAGGAGUGUAAGGAAUUUGUACUUGAGAUGCCCAAGGGUCUGAUUCUGGCAUGCUAAGGUUUUAUACCAAAAGUUAAGAUUUCAUUAACAAAUCUUCAUGCAAAAGCGCAUGGCGAAAUUUGGCUUUAAAUUCAAGUGCAAAGCAUAAUCCUUUUAAUAAGCUGGGACCAAUGUUUUGAAAAGGGAGAAAUUUUUCAGUGGCAAUUUAAAUAUGUAAAAUAAACAAUAUUUAUCUACUAGUUCUUCUGAAAAGCCUAUAAACAUGGUAACUGCAGUAGAGAGUUUCUCAUAUCACUUCAUUUUUAAAAAAUCCUUUAGUUUCUCUUCAACUUAUUAAAUACUCAACCUACAGAAAACUUGCAAAAAAUAAUCAAAUGGACAUCUACAUAUCCUUUACCUAGAUUUAACCAUUGUUACUGUUUUGCCAUAUUUGUAUUAUAUACACAUAUAUGUGAUUUUUUUGAGGAACCAUCAGAGUUAAUUACAAACAUCAUGACACUGAACCCUUGAAUGCUGUAGCAUGUCUCUCCUAUUAAAUGAGAUAAUUAUCUCAUAUAAUUAUCACACUCAGGAAAUUAACAUUGAUAGAAUACUAAUUAUUUUUUUUAUACAGGUAUCACUCUGUCCUCCAGACUGGAGUGCAGUGGUGAGAUCAUGACUCAUGUAGCCUUGAACUCCUAGACUCUCAACACAACCUCCCAAGUAGCUGGAAUUACAGGCACAUGCCACCAUACCCAGCUAACUUUUGUAUUUUUUGUAGAGAUGGGGUUUCACCAUGUUGCCCAGGCUGGUUUCAAACUCCUGGGCUCGAGGAAUCCCGCCUUGACCUCCCAAAGUGCUGGGAUUACAGGUGUACACCACCAUGUCCAGCUCACAAUACUAUCGUCUACUUCUUUGGUCCAUAUUCAAACUUUUUUCUUUGUCCUAAGAAUAUCUUUCACAGUUAACUUUUUUCUUUUGACACAUGAUUCACCCAAGUAUCAUGCAUCACAUUUACUAAUAUUUUACUUUUAAACAUUAUGCUACAGUCUUUUUUCUAGUUCUUAAUGAACUAUCUUGGGUUAUUAUGAAACUGAUAUUUGUUCCAUGAGUUACUUAUUUUCUAUCAGUUUCUAUUCAUUCUACCGAUCAAUUAUUGAGAAAAGUACCUAAAGAAUUACCUAGGCCGGGCGCGGUGGCUCAUGCCUGUAAUCCCAGCACUUUGGGAGGCCGAGGAGGGUGAAUCACGAGGUCAGGAGAUCGAGACCAUCCUGGCUAACACGGUGAAACCCCGUCUCUACUAAAAAAUAGAAAAAAAUAGCUGUGCAUGGUGGUGGGCACCUGUAGUCCCAGCUACUUGGGAGGCUGAGGCAGGAGAAUGGCAUGAACCCAGGAAGCAGAGCUUGCAGUGAGCAGAGAUCACACCACUGCACUCCAGCCUGGGUGACAGAGCAAGACUCCGUCUCAAAAAAAAAAAAAAGAAUUAAAAAAGAAUUACCUAAAGGCCACAGGGGUUUGGGCAUUUGUGUGAUUUUUUAAACCUAAGAGAACCUGUUGAUUUUAUACUUACAAGCAAAACCCAUCCUGUUGCAUUAUACAUUAUCACAGGGAAAAAAAAGUAAUCAAAGGAGGUUGGUGGCAGAUGUAUGAUGAUGUUGAUAAUGUGGUGAUGGGGAUGAUGAAGCUGAGGAGAAGGAAGGGUAUGGUGAUUUUAAGUCAGGUUGACUUAAUUAAAGUUUUGCCUGAAGAUGGAUAUCUGUGUGCUCUUUUGUAUUAUGAGUGUUUUGCAAAAGGUAGCUGCUUCACAUACCUCCUGGAGCUGUAACCACCUCCUCCAAGAUCACCGCCUUGACCCUAUUAUCACCAAAGCUACACCACAUCCCAAAACUACAGUGCCAUGCCUCC